UUAAGCAUAUAAGUAAGUGGUGGAAAUUAAACCAAAUGGGAUAUNUUUAGUAAUUGNGAAUGAACAAGGAUAUGCUUAGCUUGACAAAUGGAGCUAUUGGCUUUGAAUUGUAUUGUGGAAAUGUAUUACCAACAGAGGUGCAGGUGCCAGCCUAUUGAAAUAAAGCGUCAAUGAGGGUGAGAAUCCUGUUUGUCAUGUGCAGCCCUUUGUGCACGGUGUAUAUUUGCUGAGUCACACUCCUUGGCAUUGGAAUGCAAAGUGGGUGGUAAGUUUCAUGUAAAGGUAAACAUGCAAUUGAGACUGAUAGCACACAAGUACCAUGAGGGAAAUAUGAAAAGGACUUUGAAAAGAGAAUUAAAUGAGUUUGUAUUUGCUGAACACAAAGUAAACAGACUUGAUUUGCUUGGUGGGAGUGUUGCACUUGCUUGACAAGAGCUUUGGGCUGUGGGUGUAAUGAUUCUUUCUUUGCAUGCCAGUUUCUAUUUGUACAUCUGAUUACCUUUGCACAUGAAUGAUAAGUCUCCUGUGGGGGGUGGAUUGCAUGUGCAUGUAAUGAUUUGUGUUUUGAUAAAUGUGUCUGGUGUAUGUGUGUGUUCCUGUGCUUGGGGAUGCUUCCUUCCUUGGACUUACCAAGCCCUGACACACACAUGCUGGCAAAAUGCUUCUGCUUGACCCGUCUUGAAACAC
rnacentral:rRNA from 1 species